AACGUAGGAGGCGAGCGUUAUCCGGAUUUACUGGGUGUAAAGCGCGUGCAGGCGGUUGGCUAAGUUGGGGGUGAAAGCUCCUGGCUCAACUGGGAGAGGUCGCUCAAGACUGGCCGACUGGAGAGCAGUAAGGGAAGGUGGAAUUCCGGGUGUAGUGGUGAAAUGCGUAGAUAUCCGGAGGAACACCAGUGGCGAAGGCGGCCUUCUGGACUGCUUCUGACGCUCAGACGCGAAAGCUAGGGGAGCAAACGGG
rnacentral:rRNA from 1 species